rnacentral:tRNA from 1 species
GCCCCCUUAACUCAGUGGUAGAGUACCGCCAUGGUAAGGCGUAAGCCGUCGGUUCGAAUCCGAUAGGGGGCU